ACCCGGGUGGUGGAACUGGUAGACACGCGGGACUUAAAAUCCCGUGCCCAGCAAUGGGCGUGUGGGUUCAACUCCCAUCCCGGGUA
rnacentral:tRNA from 1 species